GAAAAGUUAAUUCGGCAUUACAUUGCAGGAUGGUGUUGUUUUUAAAUGGGAAUAUCUGAUAUACAAAACUCUUUAUUACCAAAGCAUAUUAUUAGUCCUUCUAAAUGGGCACAGUCAACUCUGUAGAUUAGAUGCUGAUGAUCAACCUGCAUCUCUUUUGCAUGAUACAUAACCCCAUCGUAAAAUAAAGUUGAGCUUUUAGAUGGCAAAUGCCAAGGGUAUUGGGUUUACCCCACAAUGUUAGCUUGAGGAUGAACUUGAUUCAUUUUUUUUGGUAGGACUCCAAAGCAUUGAUCCUCAAAGCAACUAUGUUGGCCGGAUAUGUACAAUGUGUCAAGGCAGAAAAAGAAAUGAAACCGAAAACAUGUGAUUUGAAUCUUAAGAUACUGAAGAAAGUAGAUGACAAUUGCCAUUCAGGAGCCCUGGAAAAGUGAUAAAGUCUUCACUAACUGAUCUCUAAAGAAAUUGAUCUGAAGCUACCUUAAUACCAGAAGUGAAGAAGGUCCUAUUUACCAUCCACAAAGCGCUCCAUGGUAGUGGAUCUGG